GACGAACGCUGGCGGCGUGCCUAAUACAUGCAAGUUGAGCGCUGAAGGUUGGUACUUGUACCAACUGGAUGAGCAGCGAACGGGUGAGUAACGCGUGGGGAAUCUGCCUUUGAGCGGGGGACAACAUUUGGAAACGAAUGCUAAUACCGCAUAAAAACUUUAAACACAAGUUUUAAGUUUGAAAGAUGCAAUUGCAUCACUCAAAGAUGAUCCCGCGUUGUAUUAGCUAGUUGGUGAGGUAAAGGCUCACCAAGGCGAUGAUACAUAGCCGACCUGAGAGGGUGAGCGGCCACAUUGGGACGGAGACACGGCCCAAACUCCUACGGGAGGCAGCAGUAGGGAAUCUUCGGCAAUGGACGAAAGUCUGACCGAGCAACGCCGAGGGAGUGAAGAAGGGUUUCGGAUCGUAAAACUCUGUUGGUAGAGAAGAACGUUGGUGAGAGUGGAAAGCUCAUCAAGUGACGGUAACUACCCAGAAAGGGACGGCUAACUACGUG
rnacentral:rRNA from 1 species